GACGAACGCUGGCGGCGUGCCUAAUACAUGCAAGUAGAACGCUGAAGGAGGAGCUUGCUUCUCUGGAUGAGUUGCGAACGGGUGAGUAACGCGUAGGUAACCUGCCUGGUAGCGGGGGAUAACUAUUGGAAACGAUAGCUAAUACCGCAUAAUAGCAGUUGUUGCAUGACAACUGUUUGAAAGGUGCAAUUGCACCACUACCAGAUGGACCUGCGUUGGAUUAGCUAGUUGGUGGGGUAACGGCUCACCAAGGCGACGAUACAUAGCCGACCUGAGAGGGGGAUCGGCCACACUGGGACUGAGACACGGCCCGGACUCCUACGGGAGGCAGCAGUAGGGAAUCUUCGGCAAUGGACGGAAGUCUGACCGAGCAACGCCGCGUGAGUGAAGAAGGUUUUCGGAUCGUAAAGCUCUGUUGUAAGAGAAGAACGAGUGUGAGAGUGGAAAGUUCACACUGUGACGGUAUCUUACCAGAAAGGGACGGCUAACUACGUG
rnacentral:rRNA from 1 species